UUUAAAUUGAGAGUUUGAUCCUGGCUCAGGAUGAACGCUGGCGGCGUGCUUAACACAUGCAAGUCGAGCGAUGAAAGUUUCCUUCGGGAAACGGAUUAGCGGCGGACGGGUGAGUAACACGUGGGUAACCUGCCUCAUAGAGUGGAAUAGCCUUCCGAAAGGAAGAUUAAUACCGCAUAACGUUGAAAGAUGGCAUCAUCAUUCAACCAAAGGAGCAAUCCGCUAUGAGAUGGACCCGCGGCGCAUUAGCUAGUUGGUGGGGUAACGGCCUACCAAGGCGACGAUGCGUAGCCGACCUGAGAGGGUGAUCGGCCACAUUGGGACUGAGACACGGCCCAGACUCCUACGGGAGGCAGCAGUGGGGAAUAUUGCACAAUGGGGGAAACCCUGAUGCAGCAACGCCGCGUGAGUGAUGAAGGUUUUCGGAUCGUAAAGCUCUGUCUUUGGGGAAGAUAAUGACGGUACCCAAGGAGGAAGCCA
rnacentral:rRNA from 1 species